AAGUUUCAACAACGGAUCUCUUGGGUCUCGCAUCGAUG
rnacentral:rRNA from 1 species